ensembl:lncRNA
CCGAGGCUGAGAUUUGUCUGCCAGAAGAGAAGCUGCAGAGGAAACCUCGAAGCGUGGCACCUCAUUGGUUUCAGUUGGAUAGCGUGCUCGUGUGUCUCUUGUUUUAGAAAUAUCCCCAAACUUUUUAUGACUUCCAAACGGAGUGGUAGGAAAAAUAUGGCACUGAGAACACCGAGAACUUUACAGAGUAGACAAUGAAGUUAAGCUGAAGUUCUACUCAUAUUAAAAGCAGGGAUCGGAUGCUGUAAUCCAUUUUUGUACUUACUAAUUAUUUCUAAGCCUUUCUUUCCCUGAAGGAAAUCUCCCAGCAGUACAGAGAUUUCUCCUGCUAGCGGACAAGUCCUACACCAAAUCCUACAGCAGAAUAUUUCCCUGUUUUGGACGCCUACUCUUUUCUCUGAAAACAGCAAAAAUGAGGUUUUUGUUUGGUCCGAUCCAACACCUCCUAAGCAGAGGGGAUGAGAUUCAUACAAUGGAUACAGAGCUCAGUGCCACGUGCCUCGCUGGGGACAUAGCCCUCCUCACUGUGUGAUGCAAGAUUGGAUGAGGUGGAGACCUCAUCCAGCCCUGUUUGUGCAGGAGGAGAGGAGCAAAUCGAACACAGGAGCUGUGAACUCCUGGAGAACUUCCAUCCCUGCCCUUCACAAAGGGAGGAGAAAAAAGAGACUGGCUUCACAUUAAAUGGAAAUACAGCUUUGAAAUCAAUUGGCAGCGCUCUGAAGGUUGCUGGCUCUCCGCUCACUGAUGAUGCUCUAGCUAGCAUAAACCAGCGGGGGCCGUUGCAGACAGGGCAGUGACCACAUCUGGUUUCCAGGCUCAGAGCCUUAAGUCCACCACCACCAGCAGCUUUAAUUGGAAGUGAAAACUACCAAGAACUGCAAAAUGCGGCACCUGACCAUGUGUGGAAGUGGGCUGCCUUCACCUUUACCUGACAUUGCAGGACAGAUGAAGCUACAGCACUCCAUAGCACUCACAGAUAAUUACCUUUCUUCCGCGAGAAUUUACUUCUCAGUAUAAAUGGUAUCUCAAGUCGGGAGCUCAGUGGCAGCAGAGGUUCCCGGAGAUGCUCUGAGCCUCCUGUUUUAUUUCUGAAGGAAGUUUAUUAAUAACCAAGGGGAGAAAUUGAUCGGUGGAUCCACAGAAGGGGGAAAGCUGGCAGUGUACUCUCUUCAAAAAAUGAAGAAAAAGCAGUGCAAGAAGAGAGCAUUCGCCUCUCCGGUGGCUGGAUUCCAGGGGGAAAAAAAAAGGGAAAAUUCGGGAGCAGCUUUGCCUGGCUGCCUGCAGACAAGAAGCCCC